rnacentral:rRNA from 1 species
GACGAACGCUGGCGGCGUGCCUAAUACAUGCAAGUCGAGCGAACACAAGAGGAGCUUGCUCCUCUUUGUUAGCGGCGGACGGGUGAGUAACACGUGGGCAACCUGCCUGUAAGACUGGGAUAACUUCGGGAAACCGGAGCUAAUACCGGAUAAUCCUUUUCCUCUCCUGAGGAAAAGUUGAAAUUCGGUUUACGCUGACACUUACAGAUGGGACCGCGGCGCAUUAGGUAGUUGGUGAGGUAACGGCUCACCAGGGCGACGAUGCGUAGCCGACCUGAGAGGGUGAUCGGCCACACUGGGACUGAGACACGGCCCAGACUCCUACGGGAGGCAGCAGUAGGGAAUCUUCCGCAAUGGACGAAAGUCUGACGGAGCAACGCCGCGUGAGCGAUGAAGGCCUUCGGGUCGUAAAGCUCUGUUGUUAGGGAAGAACAAGUAUCGGAGUAACUGCCGGUACCUUGACGGUACCUAACCAGAAAGCCACGGCUAACUACGUGCCAGCCGCCGCCGUAA